rnacentral:tRNA from 1 species
CCUCUCAUGGCGUAGGGGUAACGCGCCUAAUCUAGACAUCAGGGAGUCGUGAGUUCGAUUCUCACUUAGAAGA